UCAUGGCAGUUUCAAAGUGAGGCAGGCUCAUGAAAGGGGGAGGGACAGGUCAGAAGCCCAUGUCCACUAUCAAGUGAAAAAUGAAUGCAGCUCAGUCAUCCUGAUGAGAUUCAGGACUAGAGAAGAAAAGUGAGGUAAAAGAGAAGAGAGUAUGGGGAGUCAAUGGUCAAUGUGGGCCUGGCCCAAGAAGUGGAGUAUGAAGGGCAGCAGAGGACUCCACCAGCCACUGCUGCUCACUGCACUGUGCACCAGACAGACAAAUAUACCAGUGCUGUAUACAGCCUAGCCUUUAGCUUGUGCUUGUGAGAGCCUCGGCUCUGCAUAGAAACUAAUCCGGGAAGUUGUUGCUUUUUGCCGAGUCUGAGCCACAGGACCAAGGCUGAGCUUUGGGUGUAACUUCCUUGUUCUUCUCACUCUUUCAGGUCAUUGAGUGCAUUACCCAAGGUCGUGUUUUGGAGCGGCCCCGAGUCUGCCCCAAAGAGGUGUACGAUGUCAUGCUGGGGUGCUGGCAGAGGGAACCACAGCAGCGGUUGAACAUCAAGGAGAUCUACAAAAUCCUCCAUGCUUUGGGGAAGGCCACCCCAAUCUACCUGGACAUUCUUGGCUAGUGGUGGCUGGUGGUCAUGAAUUCAUACUCUGUUGCCUCCUCUCUCCCUGCCUCACAUCUCCCUUCCACCUCACAACUCCUUCCAUCCUUGACUGAAGCGAACAUCUUCAUAUAAACUCAAGUGCCUGCUACACAUACAACACUGAAAAAAGGAAAAAAAAAGAAAGAAAAAAAAACCCUGUAAGGCAGUUUGGCAAAUAUAUAUAUAUAUAUAUAUAUUUAUAUAUCUAACUAUCUAUCAAUCUAUAUCUACAGAGAGUUACCUUCUCUAGUACACAGAGAAGCUGCUGAUACAGAAAACCACAAGACUUUAACAACUCAGAAACUCUAAAAUAUUAAUAAUACAAAGGAAAAUUCCCUUUGACUUAAGCUGUGGCCCAUGCUUCUAAUGCUACGGCUCUUUGGAGCAGAAGACCUGGACCAUGCAGAGAGACAAUCUUUGGGAUGAGAGCUCUGGGACGGGAGGAGUUAAGGUGGUGCUCAGUCGCUGCUGUGUGUGUCUGUUACCCCGGAAGCUCACCACAGGCACAUGUGGGGACUGCAUGGCUGUGCUCAGCAAAGAAAUGAUGCCUGAGCAGGGUCCUUGCCUCCACUUCUUCCCCAUUUCCUCCACUUCAGGACAAUGUUCUAAUUUGUCCAUUCUAAAAAGUGUAAUCUUGAUGCUUUUGGGAAUCAAUGAUGGCACCUACGGGUAAACACAGAACAGACAACCCCACAACACAAAACCAUGACAAGAGCUGACAGCAUCCAUCCUGGGUGUAAGCUUCUUGCUGGAGUUGCAAAGGAUGUGUCUUUCUAUUCUCAGAACUUAAAGAACUGGACUUUCUGGAGUAAAAGAACCACAGAAGAAAAAAUAGCUGAAACCUGAACCCUGCCAAGACACUGCCACCUGUCUUUUCCAUCAUUGCAAAGAUUCCUUGGCCUCACCUCCCACUUUCAGGCCCCUGGGAAGCUUAGGGGGUUAGGAAACAGGUCCCCAUGUUAUCUUUGAAUGUAGACACAGCACGCUUUAGGGUUGCAAUAGCAAGAGACUUGGUUGCUUGUAGGUCAUUAUAACGAAUGCCCCCUGGUCCUCUCAGUUUCUCAUCCUGCUUCCCUAGAUCCUAGACCCCACUUCCUGGGUCUCUACUGAGUCCCAGGUAAACCCCACUGCCAAGGAAGGGAGCCAGGUCUAGUGAGAGGCUGCAGCAGUGAGUGUUUCAGGAAAGCAAGCAGUGGAGUGGGUGAGAGCCAGCAGGGGAGAAUCUACUUGGCACCUGUGCCAGGCCCCUUGGCAUUCUCCUCACGUUUCCAGCCCCUGGGAGGAUUGAUGCAUCUGCCUUUGAGCUGUUGUGAAAACGCAGGGGCUGAGAAAUCACUUUUGUGGGCUGGGGUAGGGGGAAGGGCUGAGGCUUCUCUGGGAGAUGUCCAAUGAG
rnacentral:lncRNA from 1 species